UAGGCUGAAACUCGCCUACAUGAAGCUGGAGUUGCUAGUAAUCGCGAAUCAGCAUGUCGCGGUGAAUACGUUCCCGGGCCUUGUACACACCGCCCGUCACACCAUGAGAGUUGGCAAUACCCAACGUACGUGAUCUAACCCGCAAGGGAGGAAGCGUCCUAAGGUAGGGUCAGCGAGUUGGGGUGAAGUCGUAACAAGGUAUC
rnacentral:rRNA from 1 species